UACGUAGGUGGCAAGCGUUGUCCAGAUUUAUUGGGUUUAAAGGGUGCGUAGGCGGCCCCAUAAGUCAGUGCUGAAAUACUCUAGCUCAACUAGAGGGGUGGCAUUGAUACUGCGGGGCUUGAGUGGAGUCGAGGUAGGCGGAAUUGACGGUGUAGCGGUGAAAUGCUUAGAUAUCGUCAAGAACACCGAUAGUGUAGACAGCUUACUAGGCUUCAACUGACGCUGAGGCACGAAAGUGUGGGGAUCAAACAGG
rnacentral:rRNA from 1 species